rfam:Schistosoma haematobium scaffold156_22, whole genome shotgun sequence.
GCACUGCUGAGGAGUCCCACAAUAGGACGAAACGGCCUUCUAGUGC